CGAGAACGAGGAGCUCAUCAAGUACGGAUUUCCAGAAGACAUCUGGUUUCAUGUAGAUAAGAUGUCCUCUGCACAUGUCUAUGUAAGAUUGAACAAAGGUCAGACUUUUGAUGAUAUAAGUGAAGAUUUGUUGGAAGAUUGUGCUCAACUCGUUAAAGCUAAUUCGAUCCAAGGUAAUAAGGUGAAUAAUGUUGAUGUUGUUUAUUCUCCAUGGUACAAUUUGAAGAAG
rnacentral:misc_RNA from 1 species